UGGAAUAAUUAUUGGACCAUGAUAUAACGAAAACGGUGCGUGUAAUUACGUAGUUACCUCUAAGUAUCUAAGUUUUUAGUUACUAUAUCGUUAUUAAAGAGUAUGGUGCGGAUUGAUGUUGAUUGAUGAUCUGUGAGGCUAGGUCACGGCGACCUGCCGUCCUCCAGACAGCAUGGCGACAGAAGGUCGCGUCGUGGCGCACUGCGGCAUUGCACUUUUAUAAUCGGUCUACUUACAAAUACACUUUUCAAAUCGACUAAAUAAAUACGUCCUAACAUAAUAGAAGAAAGAACAAAUGCCUUUAAUUCAUACUGGCUGCGCGAAGUCUCUCUCCCGUAGGAAUUCCGGGAAAAAGUUAAAAAAGAUAAAAGAAUUCUUAACGUUCAUCUAAAUCCGUCCAGAUUUUGGCUGAUAGAGAAACAAACUUCUCACAAUCCCAAACUUUCGCAUUUUACGAGUUCAGAGUUUACGAGUAUAAUUAUUGUUUUUAUGAAAUUACUAAGAGAGUUAACUGUAUUUUUAACAAAAUACCUACUACAACAUUAUUGAAACGCUAAAAGAAUGACAUAAGUAGAUGUGUCCAUAAUACUCCAUUCUAUAAAUUAAAUAAUUGGUUAUGACAUGACUUUAUGUGGACAGCAUAUCACUAAUCUUUGUUAAGUGAUAUGCUGUGUAUGUAUAUAGUUAUAUCUAUUUUUUCUAUUAUCUAUAUGUUAUUCAUUAAGUUGAUGUAAUCUAGAUUAUCUGUAAUUAUCUGUGUCAAAAUAUCUACCCUCGAUUUAGUAUGAAGUUUGUACCUAUCAUUGCGUGUCGUUCCGCCCUACAAUAUACAAUAUACAAGGCAACUAAGAUACAUUUAUUUAUUUACAUAUAUAGAGGCGUCAGGAAAAUGGCUGGCAGUAAAAUCACAGCCGAAUCUUCAAAAAUGUAAGAUUAUAUAUUUAUACUGCCCCGAACGCAGCCGGAAAUUUAUAUCCGUAGAUGGGAUAGAGAGUUAUAGCUAUAUUUCCCUAGCUGGUAAAAACGGUAAACCGGAAUACUAACCCGCAUUGUCGCAUGCAAUAAUUGUAUUAUUAAAUGCACAAGCAAUGAAUCCGCAAUUGACUCUAGAAAGGAAAAUCCGUACACAGUAAGCUGGAAGAACGAAAAAAAAAUCUUCUAAUAUGACUCCUUGUUAUUUUCUUAACGAAUACGAACAGCGUAUCAGCAAUGCUAUUUAAACCAUUACAAAUAUUCUUGUUCGUAUGUACUUAAACUGUUAACUAUUUGUAAUUUAUUUUUAUUACUUGUCAAUUGGAAAUAAACACAUGCAUGCGUAUGUGUCUAAAGAAAUGCAGUUUAUAAAUACCUAGCUAAUAGACAUUUUUGAAAUAGCGUAUGUAUUUUCACUAUAUACAACUGGCCACUAUUGAAAAGACCAUUUACUAUUGUUCAUCUCGAACUCAUAGUGAAAUACAUCUAUAGUUUGGUAUUAACACUACAACAGACGGUAUGUUGCCAAAGAUACUUUUUUGUAUAUUAUUAAGCAAGUUUCCUGGUAGUUUUACCAUUGAGGAUGUGCUUCCCGAAAACUCAAUGGAAAAUAAAACGGAGGAAGUAAAAAAUGUUACAGGUAAAAAAAUAUAGACUAAUAAUAUAGAUUAUUAUCCAUAUUCUCUCUAUAUUAUUCGAAUUUCUCUCAUAAUGUAUUAAUAUAUUAAAGUUAAAAAUAAUAAAUAUAUAUUAAAGUUAAAAAUUACCACUCUAUAUCCUAAUGUGGAUGUCGUAUAUGGAUCACUGGUCUGACAACUAAGAACAACUAAAGUGAAGGAGAAAAAGUAGAAAAACGACACCAAAGCUCCUACGUUCUAUGGCGACGGAAAUAAUUAAGAAAACGUCCAGAAAAGAGAGAAAGCUUGUUGUCUAUCGGCAACAACACCAGACCGAUUGUAAAAUAUACAGCAAUUUUGUGUUUGUUUCAAAUAAAAGUUAUUUUUUACUCGGAUCCCAGGUGUCUGAGAAUGUGAAUUAUAACAUUGAGAUUGAGAUAGAUAUAAAAGUACAAAAACACGGUAACUAUUAAUUGAUUUGAAACGCCUAUUGAUUUCAGAACCUUGCCCCAAUAAUAUGUCAUUGUUUAGUGCUAACGAUUUAAAGAUUUAUUGAUGAAAUAGCAGACAAGCUUCUAAUAUACGAAAAGUUGAAUGCCAGUUACCAUGUAAAUGCUACUACGACUGGCGAUAAAAUAAAACAAAAAAUAGACGAAGUCACUAGCUGGAUCGUUGACCGGCCGAAACAUUUAGACCAUUUACUGAAAGAAAUUGCAGCAAAUCGGGAACACAUCCAUGACCGAAUCAAAAAAGUAUUUGACAAACUAUCGCAUAUUGAAGGAAAAUAUAACGAAAGUAGUGAGUAAUAUGAAAAAUUAAUAAAUGAGUUAGCUGAGCAGAAUCGAAUUUGUCAAUUACAUUAUUCCCACCUUGAAGAUGAUUAUUAUGUGGAUUAUGAUUCUGGGGAUGGUGUGAAACUUUCAAAUACAAUGGAGAAAAAUGGAACUAAUUCCAAGUACUGUAGUAGUUAUGAAAGUCUUCGAAAUUUGGUAAAUUCAAAACUCCAAUCGUUUCUGAAUGAAACAUGCAAUUAUCUCAAAGAAAAAUUACAGUUAGACGAACAUGCAUAUAUCGAUAAAGUAAAUAAAUUUAAACAAAAAACAAAAGAUUUCGCAUCGAAAGAAUUAAGUGAAGUAAUGAAUUAUGUUUUAAAUGUUAAUGAUCAAUAUAUUCACUUGAAAGAAACGAUGUCAAUUUUAGAAGAAGAGAUACCCGUAAAUCAAAUUCACGUACUGGUGACAAAUAUAAAAUUUCAUUUAAUACAUUUAGAGAGCCUAAUAGAAAAAUAUGCAGAUCAUUGCCAAUAAUGUAGAUACAUAAGUUCACUGGGACGACAAAUGGUACGUAGAGAUGCACCCCGGAAACAAAACGACGACUCAAAAAUAAAUAAAGAUAAUGAUGAUAAAGACAUUUUGGAAGUAUUACUCGAGAAUAAGAUGAACGACAUAAAAAGUAAAAUAAACGAUGAAUUCUUAAAAAUAUUCGAUGACGUUAAUGAAAUAUUGGAUGGUAAGCAAACGACAGAUUCUAUUACAAGUUUACGGGAAGUACUGCCCGAACUUAAAAUAUUACACAAAAAGAGAUUUUACUUUUAAAUCAAAUUAAAAACAAAGAGUUACCUAAAAUUAUCAGCAACUUCAGUAAUCUCUCACAAGAUGUGAAUUUAUUGGCGAAUAAAAUUGAUGGAUCUAUACAGAACUUAAGUUGAGUAUGUAUAUAUUGUUUUCUAAAGUAGAUAUAUUUUAGAACCUUUAAUUUUUGGAAUUGGAAAUUUUUAUUUUCUUGUCGAAACUUUGAAUAAUACAAUAAAAUAUACAAAUGAACUAAGUAUACCUAACGUGUUUUGUUUGUUGAACGUCCGAACGAAGCGAGCGAGGUCUACCAGCGUGGUGACACUCCCGAAUUCUUAUCUCCGUAAAAAUUGUGUAUGGUACUACUUAUGGUAAAAAGUUUCUCGCGUCUGUGAAGUUUCCUACCUUGGCAGUUGCCAAGCCUACGUUUUAGAAACAAAUGUAGGUUUAGAUUAGAAUAAAACGUAUAAGAAGUCUAGAACUUCUUGGUCUUCUAGGUCUUGUGUUGGUAUCCCAACACAAGACCCUGCCAAGAAGAACCCUGCCAAGUUCUAGCAGAUUUUCUCGACACGCUUACUCCAAAACCAUGUAGUUAAAUAUUAUAAAAAAGUCUAAUUCUCAAACAAGCUCUUUCAAUGAACACGAUAGUUAGCGUUUCUAACUUCCAAAAGUAGCUCAUAAAUUUAAGUUACUUGUCGCUCUUUGAGUCACACUUAAAAAAAAAGAAAAGCACUUUUCAACUCAAUUGGUUUAGUGAUUACUUUCGGAGCGUAAUAGCUUUGAAGGUCAUAUAGAGGCAUAUGCAGGAAGGAUUUCUUUAGGGAUGUGUUUUUUCUUUUGAGGUACGGAAUCCCACAAAAUCCCACAAAUAUAGAAUUUCAUUUAUAUAUAAGUAUUUUUUCCGUAUAAAGUUAUUAUUUCUUUGUUUGAUAAUAUUCGUAACGUCACGCCUAACGGCAGUGACGGUUGCAUUGUGUCGGGGAGGGUGUUUGCACCGUCUGGCUCGGCAAGGGCACAGGGGCUUGCACAAGGGCGCCCUUGCGCGCCCGCUGGCCUGUCUCGCCCGCCAAGGACGAUGUUGUCAGAUGAGAUAACCUGCUGCAAGCCCACAACCUAACACGGAUUCAAAUUGUAUACUUACUUUUUUGACGGAAUGACGUUGUGUAAGUCAGCCAUGGAUAAACACCAAUAAAAUAAGAUUUAUUAAAUAGUGAAAAUGAAGAACACAUAACAAAUAAGUGGAAUGAAUCAAUAAUUUAUCAGCUCAAAGAAGAAAUUCAGGAUUCCGUACGUGUUGUGCUUUGAAAUUAAAUAUGAGACAAAGAAAACAAUUGACAAUUUGUUUUUAUUGCUGUGACUGGGGAGUGAUGAACACAAGGUGAUGUGUUCGUGACUUACCCAG